rnacentral:misc_RNA from 1 species
GAAAACAUAGGCAGAAAGUUACAUGGGGUACCCUGUGUAAUAAUACACUACCCGUGUACCUGCCCGAGAACAGAACAAAGAGAACAGAAAGUUACACGAGUCGGACCGUAUAGUAAUACACAAGCCCGUGUAAAACAUCGCAGAAAGCGCACCGAAGAGGCAGGAAAACGCUUCCAAACGCCAUUUUUGCCCCUUAAAAUGCCCUCUAACCGUUACCCACCCUUUAAACUCCUAUAAAUCCCCCUCUUUCCAAAGAUUUCCUCACAAGUUUUCCUUUCCAUCUUGAUUGCCCUCUCCAAACUUUAAAAACUUCUUCAUCCUUUCCUCUUCCAUGGCACCAACAAAGAGAGCUGCAGGUAGAGUUGGCUCUUCAUCUCGAGGAGGCCGUGAUUCACCAUCCCCACCUUCUCAACCUCCACCCCGACGCCUAAGAACUCGCCGAACCCCAUCACAAGAACCACAACCUCCACAACCCCAA